GGGAAGAGAACUGGAACUCGAACACAGAACUUGACUGUGAAGACAGUCAUCUUGGAGGCCAGGGUCAAGGCAAAGUGUUCCACAUCUGGGGCUGGAGAAAGAGUCCCUCCGCCUCCCACCAGCAGAUCUCAGGCUCCACGGCACGUUGGACAAGGCCUGGCUCCUAUAAUGGAACGAAGUCCACGAGAGCAGACUGUGUUUCUUGUCCUCCCUGUGCCCUCAGGGACCCAACCUGUCACAUGGUAGGUAUCUUAGAGAUGUCAAGAGAGUGACUAUGGGUGAGG
rnacentral:lncRNA from 1 species